UCAUUUAGAGGAAGUAAAAGUCGUAACAAGGUCUCCGUUGGUGAACCAGCGGAGGGAUCAUUACCGAGUUUACAACUCCCAAACCCCUGUGAACAUACCUAUACGUUGCCUCGGCGGAUCAGCCCGCGCCCCGUAAAACGGGACGGCCCGCCCGAGGACCCCUAAACUCUGUUUUUAGUGGAACUUCUGAGUAAAACAAACAAAUAAAUCAAAACUUUCAACAACGGAUCUCUUGGUUCUGGCAUCGAUGAAGAACGCAGCAAAAUGCGAUAAGUAAUGUGAAUUGCAGAAUUCAGUGAAUCAUCGAAUCUUUGAACGCACAUUGCGCCCGCCAGUAUUCUGGCGGGCAUGCCUGUUCGAGCGUCAUUUCAACCCUCAAGCUCAGCUUGGUGUUGGGACUCGCGGUAACCCGCGUUCCCCAAUCGAUUGGCGGUCACGUCGAGCUUCCAUAGCGUAGUAAUCAUACACCUCGUUACUGGUAAUCGUCGCGGCCACGCCGUAAAACCCCAACUUCUGAAUGUUGACCUCGGAUCAGGUAGGAAUACCCGCUGAACUUAAGCAUAUCAAUAAG
rnacentral:rRNA from 1 species